UACGGGGGGGCAAGCGUUGUUCGGAAUUCCUGGGCGUAAAGGGCUCGUAGGCGGCCAACUAAGUCAGACGUGAAAUCCCUAGGCUCAACCUAGGAACUGCGUCUGAUACUGGAUGGCUUGAAUCCGGGAGAGGGAUGCAGAAUUCCAGGUGUAGCGGUGAAAUGCGUAGAUAUCUGGAGGAAUACCGGUGGCGAAGGCGGCAUCCUGGACCGGCAUUGACGCUGAGGAGCGAAAGCCAGGGGAGCAAACGGG
rnacentral:rRNA from 1 species